rnacentral:rRNA from 1 species
UAGGGAAUCUUCCGCAAUGGACGAAAGUCUGACGGAGCAACGCCGCGUGAGUGAAGAAGGAUUUCGGUUCGUAAAACUCCGUUGUUAGGGAAGAAAAAAUGUAUAGUAACUAUAUACAAAAGAGACGGUACCUAACCAGAAAGCCACGGCUAACUACGUGCCAGCAGCCGCGGUAAUACGUAGGUGGCAAGCGUUGUCCGGAAUUAUUGGGCGUAAAGCGCGCGCAGGUGGUUUAGAAAGUCUGAUGUGAAAGCCCACGGCUCAACCGUGGAGGGUCAUUGGAAACUAAUAAACUUGAGUGCAGGAGAGAAAAGUGGAAUUCCUAGUGUAGCGGUGAAAUGCGUAGAGAUUAGGAGGAACACCGGUGGCGAAAGCGGCUUUUUGGCCUGCAACUGACACUGAGGCGCGAAAGCGUGGGGAGCAAACAGG